rnacentral:rRNA from 1 species
UACGUAGGGUGCGAGCGUUGCCCGGAUUUAUUGGGCGUAAAGGGCGCGUAGGCGGCCACGUGCGUCCGUUGUGAAAUCGCCCGGCUCAACUGGGCGGGGUCAGCGGAUACGGCGUGGCUGGAGCAAGCUAGGGGGCAAUGGAAUUCCCGGUGUAGUGGUGGAAUGCGUAGAUAUCGGGAGGAACACCAGUGGCGAAGGCGGUUACCUGGGGCUUUGCUGACGCUGAUGCGCGAAAGCGUGGGGAGCGAUCCGG